CUUACCAACAGCUGUAUGAGGUGGUGGAGUUUUUGGUGCUUGUAUUCUGGAUGUGUGGCAGCUUUGACUCCCCUAACCAGAGUCUCUUCUUUCUGGUGAUAUGGUUGAUGUGCAGAAAAAGGUGCAGGGAGGCAGCGCCUGUGGUGUUGUUCUCAAAUCCAAGGUAAUAUGUGAAAUAAGCACAGAGAACGUAAUAUAGUGUAG